UGUGCCCCGUGUCCUGUCCGUGGGCCUUGUGGGCACCUCUGCAAGCGGGUAUGCCGUGGCGCGGGGCUUGCAUCUGGCCGUGUACCUAACCCGGGGAGGGGGGACCGAUGCUUCCGGGCCCGUCCUCCGAGGGCUCUGGAGCGCCGAGCGUCCUCCGCAUCCCACCGCUUGGUGCGAAGGGGCGAACCCCGAGGGACCCGGGCGUGGAGCUCCCGGCCCCUCCCGCGAGCCUCCGUGGCCUCCCGCGCCGCACCCACUUCCUCCUUCCCUUCCGCGCGCGCCAGCCAACCGCUCGCCAAAAAUAAAAAAAUAAAAAAAUCCCUGUCACUUCUGACAGGAAGCGGGGAGGCCGCGCCCGAGCGAGCGGACGCGCAUCCCCGCCGCGCCCGGGGGACUCGGUGGGCAGCGGGGUCCCGCCUGGGCCUGGGCCUGGGCCUCGUCCGGCCCUCGGGCCCCGCCCAGCGCUCGGUCCCCGUCUCCAGCUGCUCGGCCCCCUCCCUGCCGGGUCCCCGGCGCUCAGGCGCGAGCCCGCCAUGGAGGUGGAGGAGGCGUUCCAGGCGGUCGGCGAGAUGGGCCUCUACCAGAUGUACUUGUGCUUCCUGCUGGCCGUGCUGCUGCAGCUUUAUGUGGCCACAGAAGCCAUCCUCAUUGCACUCAUUGGAGCUACACCAUCGUACUACUGGGACAUGGCCGAGCUUCUGCCUAACCAGAGCCACAGCAACCAGUCAGAUGGCAAAGACCAGGCGUUUGGGGACUGGCUUCUGACUGCCAAUGGCAGUGAGAUCCAUAAGCAUGUGCAUUUCAGCAGCAGCUUCACCUCUAUUGCCUCUGAGUGGUUUCUAAUCGCCAACCGAUCUUACAAAGUCAGUGCUGCCAGCUCCUUUUUCUUCAGUGGCGUGUUUGUUGGCGUUAUCUCCUUUGGUCAGCUUUCAGAUCGCUUCGGAAGGAAAAAAGUUUAUCUCACAGGUUUUGCUCUUGACAUCUUAUUUGCUAUCGCAAAUGGAUUUUCCCCCUCAUAUGAAUUCUUUGCAGUAACUCGUUUCUUGGUGGGCGUGAUGAAUGGAGGGAUGUCCCUGGUGGCCUUUGUCUUGCUAAAUGAAUGCGUGGGCACCGCCUACUGGGCACUCGCAGGAUCGAUUGGCGGUCUCUUCUUUGCUGUUGGCAUCGCACAGUAUGCCCUGCUAGGAUACUUCAUCCGCUCCUGGAGGACCCUAGCUGUCCUGGUCAACCUUCAGGGAACAGUAGUCUUUCUCUUAUCUUUAUUCAUUCCUGAAUCACCUCGUUGGUUAUACUCCCAGGGUCGGCUGAGUGAGGCGGAGGAGGCUCUGUACCUCAUUGCCAAGAGGAACCGCAAGCUCAAGUGCACUUUCUCACUAACACAUCCGGCCAACAGGACCUACAGGGAAACUGGGAGCUUCCUGGAUCUGUUCCGUUACCGGAUCCUCCUAGGACAUACUCUGAUCCUGAUGUUCAUCUGGUUUGUCUGCAGCUUGGUGUACUAUGGCCUCACCCUGAGCGCAGGUGACCUAGGGGGGAGUAUUUAUGCCAACCUGGCUUUAUCUGGCCUCAUAGAGAUUCCGUCCUACCCUCUCUGCAUCUACCUGAUUAACCAAAGAUGGUUUGGUCGGAAGCGGACGCUAGCAGCGUUUCUGUGCCUUGGAGGACUAGCCUGUCUCAUUGUGAUGUUUCUUCCAGAAAAAAAAGACACAGGCGUGUUUGCAGUGGUCAACAGCCACUCCUUGUCCCUGCUGGGGAAGCUGACGAUCAGUGCUGCCUUCAACAUCGUCUACACCUAUACCUCUGAGCUGUACCCCACUGUCAUCAGAAAUGUUGGCCUUGGAACGUGUUCCAUGUUCUCCCGAGUUGGUGGGAUCAUUGCUCCCUUCAUCCCCUCACUGGUUGAAGGACGUGCAGUGGUCUCUGCCCUUCAUCGUGUUUGGAGCCACCGGCCUGACCUCAGGCCUCCUAAGCCUGCUAUUGCCAGAGACUCUGAACAGCCCUUUGUUGGAGACAUUUUCUGACCUUCAAAUGUACUCAUAUAAGAUGCUAGGGGAGGAAGCCUUGUCUCUACAGACCUUGGAUCCUCCACAGCUCCUAGACAAGGCCAGCGCCUUGGGGAGUGAGAGCGAUGACGAGGAGGAAGAGUUCUAUGAUGCAGAUGAGGAGACACAGAUGAUCAAGUGAAGACCCUACAUCCUGCCCAGAAGCAAAGCACCAUCAUCAUUAGUGCUCCAUUCAGCAUCAGGACCACUCAGCCCACACCGAUGCUUCCACACGUGAGGUUGGAGGAGAGAUUCCCAAAGAGAGAACCUUGGCACCAUGAGAGAAGCAUUGCUGAUUUGUUCAGGAUGAGCUAAUCAGCACCAUGCCUCUAGCCACACAGCUCAGGUUCACCUUCUAGGUGCCUGACCUGAACCUCAUGCUGCUUCCCUUCCUCAUAACCCAAAAGCCGGGGUGUGAAACUGCUCAAACUUCUACUAGGAUUAGCUAGGCCUUCCGUGAGAUUUUGUCUUCCUAGUAAACUUGGCGUCUGCCCCUGUCACCUGGGACUCCCCACCAGGAAUCUUCUGAUGCAGGCUAGUGUGUGCAAGAUCCCCAGCUUUCCCUUGGCUGGUGAAAUGAGUCUUCCGCUGGCUCCCAGCUCAUUGGUUGGCAGUGCAGCUUGUGCCUUUUGGUCUGAGGUCAUUCACUAGCAAAAGCCAGAACCAACCAAGCAGUUUGCUGAGGUUAGAGGACUGGUCAUGCCACGGCAACUACCUUUGACACGUAUGUUGUGCAAUUUUUCUAGAUCCCACUUGGAAACAUUUGGGAAUUUUGUCACUGUUGUUGUGAGAUUCUAGUAUUGGCAAUAACUUCAAAAUCAUGCCCAGUCUACAAUGAAACUUUACAAGUUGGAAGUAGUCUGCAAGCGAUGAGCUGAGCACUCUUUAAACGACUUAAAUAAGAGUGAAGAUUGUCUUUCACAGUGUUUGUUCUCUUCAACGUGCACAGAGGGAUUUGGGCAGCACAUCAAGGUUUGAACUCUGCCCUGCACCAGUCUCUACAUGUUUAUUCAAAAGGCAUGGUGAUUUUUAAAGAAAAUGUUGAGUUUUCAUUAAGUGCUUCCAUGGAUUUCCAAAUGAAUCAGAAUCACGCUUAAUUCUCAUUUCUCACAAAACUUGAACACCCUGAACUAAGCAUAUGAGCCAGGAGUCCACGUGUGGCAAUUAAUCACUGUCCCAGCCAGGGAAAUUACUGUGUUUAGGAGUUCUGUUCAUGCUAAUCGCUCUGGAAGAGAAAGCUCAUGGAUGUGAAGGAAGGGUGCUCUGUAGAUACUCCUGGAACUUGUGGAGGCCUUUGUCCUGUUGCUUCCACAUGGUUCCUGGUCUCCUCCAUGCUGUCUUGGCUUACACUGUGCCCAUCUGUUUCUUUAUAAAAUCAUUUUUUUCCUUCCUGUCCUUGAUUAUGGGGGAGCCAUAAUCUACCACUGUAGAAAGCACUGGCCAAGAUGCAGUGAAGACCCAAAGGAGAUCCUGUGUGUAGCUGUCAGAAAGAUUAUGGAACUCCUUGGAGCAUCAUAUCUGCAAAUCCCAGCAAAGAGUGCCCACACCCCAAAAACUAUGAAGUCCUGCCUGCUGCUCUCUCCUCUGGUAGAGGUCAGCUCUACUUGGGAAAGGAAGACAGGGUUCCCAGAAACUACUGAUUCUUGUCAAAUAAAGUGUUUAAAAUAAAGCAGUAAAUUAAUACAUAUAAUUUUGAUCAGUUUGAUCCCUCCUAAUAUAACCCAUUAUAGAAAAUUGGAUAUUAGAAGUUAGAAACAUAUCCAUCAGCCUAGCCACCAGAGGAAGCAGUGCCGUGGCCUUUUCCGUUACCUGGCGCUGUUGAGAUUCCUGCUGUCUCUAGCUAAGGAAGUGAAGAUCCAGGCAAUUCUGGCAUGGGUUUGGUUUUUCCCCAGCUAAGAGAAGGAGAAACCCUAGAUUGAAUUAUGUGUUGUGUAAUAAGGUUGGCUUGACUGUUGGCUGCUCUUGUUGGAUAUAUUAUUAAAUUUUUCUUAUCCCUGUGUA